AUGGAUGAUAGAGAGAGAAUGUAUUUGUUGAGAGACGAUUUGAACAGCCAUAAUUUUCAUUAUUGGCAUGAUAAAGUAUUGAUACUCCUUGAGUAUGAGAGAGUGUUGGAUUGUAUUGAGAGAACAUGUCCAGAGUCAAAUGAGGAAGCUAUUUCAGAUUGGAAAGUGAAGGAUGCAAAAGCCAGAUAUUUGAUCACGUCUUCUCUGAAAACUAAGCAAAUGAUGUAUGUAAGAGAUUGUGUAACAGCCAAGGAUAUGCUGGAUGCACUAAAACGCACAUUUGGCCAUAUUUCAAAGCUGGCUGCUAUUGGAUUGUUGAAGAGACUUAUGAAAACAGAGCUUAAUGAUAAGAAAGAGUGUGAUAAACAUUUAGAGAAUUUUACAAAAAUGCUUGAUAAGUUAAAGAUGUCUGGUUUUAUCAUUGAAGAUUUUCAUAAGGUUGGAUUAUUGAUCGGCUCUUUGGGAAAUAUUUUUGACCCAUUUUUGUCUUCAAUUGAGUCCAAUCCAGAUAUAACUUUUAAUUUAGCCGUUGCAAGGUUCAGAGACUUCUGCAAUGAUCAGCAUAGAAGUUCACAUGUGGAUAGCCCCAAAGCAAAUGAAUCAAGUUACAUGGCGUCAAGUCGCCACCCUCAUAGGGGCGGAGUUUCAAGGGACAGCCCAAAGGGGAGUACAUGUUUUAAUUGUGGAAAAUUUGGUCACAUUGCUAGAUUUUGUCGCCUACCAAAGAAAGAUGGUACGCCAUCUGGUGGCAAUAAGCAAGUAAAGCAACAAAAGAAAGUUUUUACAAACAAGCCUGCUGGAAACAGACAAUCACAUAGAGGCUUGAUGUUUGCUCAUUCUAUUUUAACAAUUAAUGAGAACAAAGACAAAGAAGAUGUUUGGAUUGUUGAUUCAGGUUGUACACAGCAUAGCUCAAAUAACUUUGAGAAUUUUGUUGAACUGAAUCAAGGAGUUAAAGGUGAUUUGAGAAUAGCUAAUGGAGAUUUAUUGAAAAUAAAAGGAUCUGGAAAGUGUAUUGUGAAAUGUAGUUUGCCUGAUGAGGUUGCUGUAACUGAGAUUUCUGAUGUUCUUUACAUUGAUUCACUUCAAUGCAAUAUGCUCAGAGAGGCCUUGCUAUUUUGA
rnacentral:lncRNA from 1 species